AUUCUGAGUAUGAAAGGGAUAGCGAGAUCCGGAGCUGGGAAAUUAUGUUUUUGAUUGCUAAAAACAAGUAGGGUGGUGAGACAUACGACAAAACGGGCAAAAAAAUGUCAAAGCUUCCAUAAAUUAACAAGAAAAAUAUUCCCUGAUAAUUAACAUACUUAUUUUUUCCUGGCUUCCUGCGUCGGAGUUCUGCCACCGCCACCCAAAGUUACAAUAUUGAAUGGAAAAAUCGGGAGAGCAAUAAGAAAAGAGGUAAUCCAAACAAAAAAUAGAGGAAUCGAGCCCCAUCCCAAGGUUCAAACCGCUCUUCUUCAUACAAAUUUAACAAAAAAAGAAAUUUUUAGGAAAAAACUCGCCUAAAUUGGCCUCUGGGUUCGAAGGCGAAGAAAACAUCAAAGAGGGACCAAAACGAUGCCUCUACCAUUCGAAACAGGGCGAAAUUCCAUCGAUUUCUCAGGAGAAGAAAACAAGAAAAAGAACGGAUUGUAUUGCGAUGACUUACCGAUUUGAAUACCUUUUUCCCUCUCUCUUAAUCUCUUUGCGAUGGCCUUCUGAUGAUUGGAAGUAGCGACGACAGAGCUUUCGUGGGAUCUAAUGGCGGAAAGGGAGGGCGUUCCUGUUCAGUGUUUUGUUGAGGGAGAGCAAAGGGAUGAAACGAAACGUUUGGUUUGACGAUAAUUGGAAAAGAAGGUUGGGGGGCAGUCA
rnacentral:lncRNA from 1 species